AGUGAACGCUGGCGGUAGGCCUAACACAUGCAAGUCGAACGGCAGCACAGGAGAGCUUGCUCUCUGGGUGGCGAGUGGCGGACGGGUGAGGAAUACAUCGGAAUCUACUUUUUCGUGGGGGAUAACGUAGGGAAACUUACGCUAAUACCGCAUACGACCUACGGGUGAAAGCAGGGGAUCUUCGGACCUUGCGCGAUUGAAUGAGCCGAUGUCGGAUUAGCUAGUUGGCGGGGUAAAGGCCCACCAAGGCGACGAUCCGUAGCUGGUCUGAGAGGAUGAUCAGCCACACUGGAACUGAGACACGGUCCAGACUCCUACGGGAGGCAGCAGUGGGGAAUAUUGGACAAUGGGCGCAAGCUUGAUCCAGCCAUACCGCGUGGGUGAAGAAGGCCUUCGGGUUGUAAAGCCCUUCUGUUGGGAAAGAAAUCCAGCUGGUUAAUACCCGGUUGGGAUGACGGUACCCAAAGAAUAAGCACCGGCUAACUUCGUGCCAGCCGCCGCGGUAA
rnacentral:rRNA from 1 species